GAAAUGCGAUACGUAAUGUGAAUUGCAGAAUUCAGUGAAUCAUCGAAUCUUUGAACGCACCUUGCGCUCCAUGGUAUUCCGUGGAGCAUGCCUGUUUGAGUGUCAUGAAUUCUUCAACCCACCUCUUUCUUAGUGAAUCAGGCGGUGUUUGGAUUCUGAGCGCUGCUGGCCUCACGGCCUAACUCGCUCGUAAUGCAUCAGCAUCCGCAAUCGAACUUCGGAUUGACUCGGCGUAAUAGACUAUUCGCUGAGGAUUCUGGUCUCUGACUGGAGCCGGGUAAGAUUAAAGGAAGCUUCUAAUCCUCAUGUCUAUCUUGAGAUUAGACCUCAAAUCAGGUAGGACUACCCGCUGAACUUAAGC
rnacentral:misc_RNA from 1 species